UAAUUUAUUAGCAUGAUUUCUUUUUAAUAUGUUGUGUACAGACUUAAUUACUUCUCUGUCUACUUUUCUUACUCCAUGUAGGUUUCCCAGAGACUAUGGGUUGAGGAGGAAGUGGAAGUUUGUCGGCUUAGACCUGGUGUCAUUCCAUCAGUGUUAAACUUCCCGGCUCAUCUUGGAAGAGUACGUGCCAGAAAGACCACGACCAAGCAGCCUUGAGAUCUUAGGCAGCGUCUCCCUGAGGUUCCUCUCUAUCUCCCCACACAUCCACCAACCACUGGAACACAUCUCCAAAGUUCUGCUGGACCAGCUCAGCUUCCCCUCAGAAGAAGUGCUGCCACCUGCCAGAUGAAGGAGCGUUUUGAGAGGCAGCUGGCAUCGUGAUUGGACUGUACUUUGGUCUGUUCCAAUCCAGCUUCAGCUCCAGAGACGGCAGGCGGGACGAGUCAACGGAGGCCGGAUGGACGAAGGCAUGAAGCUGAGUACAAUCCAGAAAACAACAGAGGAGGAGUGCAGCAGCCCAGGACCAGGACAACCAGAGUAGCAUGACUAAAGAACUACAGACUCUUCACAACCUGCUCAAACUCUUGGUACAGGACCUCACUACACGGGUCAAGAAGGUUGCUUUGUAGAACUGUUCCAGAAAACCUCACUAAACCACAUGGAGGGGCCUCAAGAUAGUCGUCCAAAUGAAACCAUACAAAAACCAAACUAGCACAACCCAAACGCUAAAGUCUCCUGCAGCCUACCAGAGAACCUCUGAGAACAGAGAAUCAGGACAGGAACUC
ensembl:lncRNA